rnacentral:tRNA from 1 species
GCCGGUAUGGCUCAGUAGUAGAACAUCAGCCUGCGAACUGAAGGGUCAUGGGUUCAAUUCCCAGUCAAAGGCA